UUUUCUGUCAUCUAACCUGCUCUCCCCAGGUUGGCUGAAGGAUGGGAGCGGCUGUGCCUGCCUGUGAGGUCACAGCAUGAAGUCCUUUUAACUUGCUUUCUGCUGCAGGAGAGAGGCGUAUUGUGGUAUAACUGUUGCUGUAUUUAUUCAAAUGGACAAUUUGCAAUAGAUAUUAUACCCAGGACGACAGAUAAGUCAACACAUAAG
rnacentral:lncRNA from 1 species